rnacentral:rRNA from 1 species
GACGAACGCUGGCGGCGUGCUUAACACAUGCAAGUCGAGCGGUAAGGCCCUUUCGGGGGUACACGAGCGGCGAACGGGUGAGUAACACGUGGGUGACCUGCCCUCAGCUCUGGGAUAAGCCCGGGAAACUGGGUCUAAUACCGGAUAUGACUCCAUGACGCAUGUUGUGGGGUGGAAAGCCUUGUGCGGCUGAGGAUGGGCCCGCGGCCUAUCAGCUUGUUGGUGGGGUGGUGGCCUACCAAGGCGACGACGGGUAGCCGGCCUGAGAGGGCGACCGGCCACACUGGGACUGAGAUACGGCCCAGACUCCUACGGGAGGCAGCAGUGGGGAAUCUUGCGCAAUGGGCGAAAGCCUGACGCAGCGACGCCGCGUGAGGGAUGACGGCCU